GUCUUUCACAUUUACAGCAGUUCAAUGGCAAUGAUUGAACUCUAACCAAACACAGUCUGACAGUCGCUGUGAGACUGGAAGUAUGAUAAGUAUAAAAAAUAUACAGAAAAGUAACAGUAUGUUCACUUUUCAACCAAUAAAGAAAUAAAUAUAGCCAAAGAAACUCUCUGAAAUAUCUGGAAGAAAUAGAAAGAACAGAAAUCAGGAUGGAUUUUUUAUUUAUAGCAAUGGCCACAUGAACAGAACAUGUGGAAAAACAAGAACCAAAGAAGUAGAAAAGGAGCCACGAUGGUAAAAAGAUGUCAUUGCUAAUCCAUCAGCAAAGUAGAAGACAAGCACAGGGAGAGGACACAGCACUAGCUGGCAAGGAAGAGUAGAAGGAAUAAAAUACUUCCAGUGUCCA
rnacentral:lncRNA from 1 species